rnacentral:lncRNA from 1 species
AGUUGGGAUUGGUUAGUGUAAAGAGAUACAAUGAUAACAAGUGGGCAACAAUCUCGAACAAGGAGAAUCUACUUCACAGGAUCAGCGAUUUACCAGGAAUGUACCUAAGGAUUCUCAGAACAAUGUUGUCUGGAUUAAACUGCGCAAAAGUUUUGGCGUGGUGAUGAUAGAAGACUUAAUGUUGGCCGACAUGUUUGUGGAUCCAGUGAGUUUUCUUAAAUUAUAACUACAAGAUCUAGUUAAUAUAAGAAAUUAUUGUUCUUCAUUUGAAGAUCACUGAAUGUUAUACUGUAUUUAUAUAUGUGCAGAACAAGUGGAUGCAGACAUGCAGUGCUUUCCUACUAUAUCCUUACUUGGAACCAAUCUCACAUCGUCAUGAACGAUGAUAUCUUGGUUUGGUGACAUUUUUGGGAUGACUUGGGAAAACAGUACUACUUCGAAUACGGUUGGACAUGAUAGUCUUCUUGUUGGUAUUGAUUUUGUAAUUUUACUCACUGUUUUGUUUUAUCGAUUCAGCUUAUGGAAAGCGAUAUUUACACAUAGGACAAACUGUCGACUUAUGCAACAAACUAGGGUCAAAUUCUCAACUUAUGCAACAAAGAAAAUUAGGUUUAAAAUUAUCAUCAAACUAUUAAGUUAUACCAAUUUAUGCAAUUCCGUCAACGGAGUUCUAACAGACGUUAAUAUUUGCUGACUGUAUUAAUUAUUUUUUUUCCUGACUGUGUAUAUUUGUUAUAAGAGUGAUGAUCUGGGAUGAACGAUGGUAAUUAACUUAAUCAAAUGUGAAUAUGAGACCCAAAUCAAAAGUUUAAGAUACAAAUGUGUGUAGUCCAAAUAAUCUCCCC